rnacentral:rRNA from 1 species
GAGAACAACGUAACAAAACCUUAUCGAUAAACAAUUGGAGGGCAAGUCUGGUGCCAGCAGCCGCGGUAAUUCCAGCUCCAAUAGCGUAUAUUAACGUUGUUGCAGUUAAAAAGCUCGUAGUUGAAAUGAAGGGUGGUUGUGUAAUGAAUACAUUCGUGUAUUUUGUUAUUCUACUACCCUCCUUCUAAAUUCGAUAUAUGAGUAUUAAUUUACUUGUAUAUGGUUUUAGACCUUUACUGUGAGAAAAUUAGAGUGUUCAAAGCAGGCAUUUGCUUGAAUAUAUUAGCAUGGAAUAAUCAUGUAUGAUUUUCAUGAUGUAUUUGAUUGGUUUGGUUCAUGAGAAUAAGAUUAAAAGGGACAGUUGGGGGUAUUCAUAUUCAAUAGUCAGAGGUGAAAUUCUCGGAUUUAUGGAAGAUGAACAAGUGCGAAAGCAUUUACCAAGGAUGUUUUCAUUAAUCAAGAACGAAAGUUAGGGGAUCGAAGAGGAUUAGAUACCCUCGUAGUCUUAA